GGUCAGGAAUUUGAGACCAGCCUGGCCAACAUGGUGAAACACUGUCUCUGCCAAAAAAAUACAAAAAUUAGCUGGGUGUGGUGGCAUGCACGCCUGUAGUCCCAGCUAUUCAGGAGGCUGAGGUGGGAGAAUCACUUGAAUCCAGGUGACAGAGGUUGCAGUGAGCUGAGAUUGUGCCACUGCAGCCAGCCCGGGCAACAGAGUGAGACCCUGUCUCAAAAAAAAGAAAAAAAAGGAAGAAGUUAUGUGAUAGGGUGUGCAUUGGAAGUUAGGGAAUGGUCCUAACUUCCUUUUCCUAAAAGAUCAGUCUCCCUUCCCUUGCCAUCUGCCCCAACCAGGAUUGACAAGCCCAAGGCCCUAUCUCUACUGCUCCAUGCUGCUGACAUCAGCCACCCAACCAAGCAGUGGUUGGUCCACAGCCGUUGGACCAAGGCCCUCAUGGAGGAAUUCUUCCGUCAGGGUGACAAGGAGGCAGAGUUGGGCCUGCCCUUUUCUCCACUCUGUGACCGCACUUCCACUCUAGUGGCACAGUCUCAGAUAGGGUUCAUCGACUUCAUUGUGGAGCCCACAUUCUCUGUGCUGACUGACGUGGCAGAGAAGAGUGUUCAGCCCCUGGCGGAUGAGGACUCCAAGUCUAAAAACCAGCCCAGCUUUCAGUGGCGCCAGCCCUCUCUGGAUGUGGAAGUGGGAGACCCCAACCCUGAUGUGGCCAGCUUUCGUUCCACCUGGGUCAAGCGCAUUCAGGAGAACAAGCAGAAGUGGAAGGAACGGGCAGCAAGUGGCAUCACUAACC
rnacentral:sRNA from 1 species